rnacentral:lncRNA from 1 species
CUUGAUCAAUUCUUUUGCCUUGAUUGAUUUCAGAACAUCAGAUAUAUUCUCAAAAGAAGAAGAUGAUUGGUGAAGAGAGAGAAAAGGAUUUAGAGGCAAAGAGAAUACUAGAUGAGGUCGUAUCAUUUAUAAUGGAAGUUGUUGAAGAAGUCAAGCUUGCGUUUAUCAAUAUUUGCAUCUUCGGUGUGUUGGAGUACAAAUCUAUGUGAAGUUUUUCCGGAGGUAUCUUAGAUUAGCUACUACUACUUUUAAAUGAUAACAUUUUACUUUUUCCUAAAUGACAAGAAAUGCAAUCUUGAAGUGGUUGCAUCUUUAUUCUCGUUCUUUCUUUAAAGACCUUAAUAAUUUGUGAUGAUAGAU